UACGGAGGGUGCAAGCGUUGUCCGGAUUUAUUGGGUUUAAAGGGUGCGUAGGCGGCUCUUUAAGUCAGCUGUGAAAGUCCAGAGCUUAACUCUGGGAUUGCCAUUGAUACUGAAGAGCUUGAGUAUAGUUGAGGUAGGCGGAAUUGACAGUGUAGCGGUGAAAUGCAUAGAUAUUGUCAAGAACACCGAUGGCGUAGGCAGCUUACUAAGCUAUAACUGACGCUGAGGCACGAAAGUGUGGGGAGCAAACAGG
rnacentral:rRNA from 1 species